UACGAAGGAGGCUAGCGUUGUUCGGAAUUACUGGGCGUAAAGCGCACGUAGGCGGACAUUUAAGUCAGGGGUGAAAUCCCGGGGCUCAACCUCGGAACUGCCUUUGAUACUGGGUGACUCGAGUCCGGAAGAGGUGAGUGGAAUUCCGAGUGUAGAGGUGAAAUUCGUAGAUAUUCGGAGGAACACCAGUGGCGAAGGCGGCUCACUGGUCCGGUACUGACGCUGAGGUGCGAAAGCGUGGGGAGCAAACAGG
rnacentral:rRNA from 1 species